ensembl:lncRNA
GAAACUCACGGUGAAACUGAAACUCACGGUGAAAUUGUCGGUGGUCCUGCAAGAGCCUGAGAAGUAGCCAAGAACGAACCUCUGAUACAUUUGCUGAAAUCACUUUAAAACACAUUUUUAUUUCCUCCAAACAGAGUUCUAGCUUUCAUUUGACCACUGGACAAAGAUCAAGUUGGAUCAUUCUGAAAAAUUUUUGGUCUGCUGGAGAAACCCAUCCUCCUUCUCAAUGGAAACGUCAUUCUGUUACCCCAGUUUUCUACCUGACACAGAAAGCAUAAUGUCUGUGAUGCAUGAACUGAAGGAAAAGAACUUAACAGACAACACCCUUCUCUCCAACUUGGAAUUUGCUGAGAGAUUCAUUAGAGACCAUCCUCUAAAACCGUACUCCAAAUUGCUAGUCAAAGGAAAUUACUUUUGUGUACAAAUUGGUCAGAAUCGCUUGCAAGUUUUUACUGUAACAUCAGAAAACAACCAAACCUAUGUCAAUGUCUUUAUCAGCGACCAAUUUGGUGAAAAAAUCAAAAAGUCUUUAAUUGAGGCCAAUCACUUUUUCAACCACUCCUGCCAGGAUGAGAUUAAAUCCUGUUUUACACAGGCACAAGAAGCUGUUACUAAAGAGGUUCUGACAAGUUUGCGUAUCAAAUGCAACAGGUUCUCAGUCACAUAUGCCACUCGAUUUAGCGGUCCACGUGCAACUGUGGAAACAAAAUGUCAGUUAAAGCUAGAGAACCUCACUGCUGAGGGUUUACUGAACAAAAAAGUCUGGCUGCAGAAAGAGAAGCCCACAUGUCAUGGUUUGAUAGCAUGUCUAGACCAUCUCAUAAAGCAAUACCUGACCACAAGCAGUACUAUAUGGCACUCCUAUAGAUUUCUCAUACAUGCAGACAAAGAAAUGAUCAGAAUCACUUCAUGUGUAGAAAAAGAAAGAGAAUGUGUAUUAAUACAUGAUCAUGAAGGGGUCUCAAUGUUUCCUCCAACAUUGCAGUAAAAGUUAUGACCGCACUCCAGAAAACUGCAACAUAGUCUGUUGAAAUAUCUUCAUAUGCAUUUUUAAAGACUAAAGAUUAAAUGAAAUCAUUAUAUUCACGUAUUCACAUAAAUUCAUUACGUAAAAAUUUACUUUACUUUAAAAUAUUACUUGAGAAAUAAAUCAUACAAUGGCAUUACUUGGAGUACA